UUUCUGCAAGUAUUUUGUAUUCUUGACUUCCAAUCAAGCGGGCCACUCGUUGUGGGCAGAGAU
rnacentral:tRNA from 1 species